CGAGCGAACGGGGAGCAGCCCAGAGCCUGAAUCAGUGUGUGUGUUAGUGGAAGCGUCUGGAAAGGCGCGCGAUACAGGGUGACAGCCCCGUACACCAAAAUGCACAUACUGUGAGCUCGAUGAGUAGGGCGGGACACGUGGUAUCCUGUCUGAAUAUGGGGGGACCAUCCUCCAAGGCUAAAUACUCCUGACUGACCGAUAGUGAACCAGUACCGUGAGGGAAAGGCGAAAAGAACCCCGGCGAGGGGAGUGAAAAAGAACCUGAAACCGUGUACGUACAAGCAGUGGGAGCACGCUUAGGCGUGUGACUGCGUACCUUUUGUAUAAUGGGUCAGCGACUUAUAUUCUGUAGCAAGGUUAACCGAAUAGGGGAGCCGAAGGGAAACCGAGUCUUAACUGGGCGUUAAGUUGCAGGGUAUAGACCCGAAACCCGGUGAUCUAGCCAUGGGCAGGUUGAAGGUUGGGUAACACUAACUGGAGGACCGAACCGACUAAUGUUGAAAAAUUAGCGGAUGACUUGUGGCUGGGGGUGAAAGGCCAAUCAAACCGGGAGAUAGCUGGUUCUCCCCGAAAGCUAUUUAGGUAGCGCCUCGUGAAUUCAUCUCCGGGGGUAGAGCACUGUUUCGGCAAGGGGGUCAUCCCGACUUACCAACCCGAUGCAAACUGCGAAUACCGGAGAAUGUUAUCACGGGAGACACACGGCGGGUGCUAACGUCCGUCGUGAAGAGGGAAACAACCCAGACCGCCAGCUAAGGUCCCAAAGUCAUGGUUAAGUGGGAAACGAUGUGGGAAGGCCCAGACAGCCAGGAUGUUGGCUUAGAAGCAGCCAUCAUUUAAAGAAAGCGUAAUAGCUCACUGGUCGAGUCGGCCUGCGCGGAAGAUGUAACGGGGCUAAACCAUGCACCGAAGCUGCGGCAGCGACACUAUGUGUUGUUGGGUAGGGGAGCGUUCUGUAAGCCUGUGAAGGUGUACUGUGAGGUAUGCUGGAGGUAUCAGAAGUGCGAAUGCUGACAUAAGUAACGAUAAAGCGGGUGAAAAGCCCGCUCGCCGGAAGACCAAGGGUUCCUGUCCAACGUUAAUCGGGGCAGGGUGAGUCGACCCCUAAGGCGAGGCCGAAAGGCGUAGUCGAUGGGAAACAGGUUAAUAUUCCUGUACUUGGUGUUACUGCGAAGGGGGGACGGAGAAGGCUAUGUUGGCCGGGCGACGGUUGUCCCGGUUUAAGCGUGUAGGCUGGUUUUCCAGGCAAAUCCGGAAAAUCAAGGCUGAGGCGUGAUGACGAGGCACUACGGUGCUGAAGCAACAAAUGCCCUGCUUCCAGGAAAAGCCUCUAAGCAUCAGGUAACAUCAAAUCGUACCCCAAACCGACACAGGUGGUCAGGUAGAGAAUACCAAGGCGCUUGAGAGAACUCGGGUGAAGGAACUAGGCAAAAUGGUGCCGUAACUUCGGGAGAAGGCACGCUGAUAUGUAGGUGAAG
rnacentral:rRNA from 1 species